rnacentral:rRNA from 1 species
CACGUAGGGGGCGAGCGUUGUCCGAAGUUACUGGGCGUAAAGCGCGCGUAGGCGGCUCUUUAAGUCUGGUGUGAAAGGUUCAGGGCUCAACCCGAACAGUGCACUGGAUACUGGUUGGCUUGAGUGUGGGAGAGGGAUGCGGAAUUCCAGGUGUAGCGGUGAAAUGCGUAGAUAUCUGGAGGAACACCGGUGGCGAAGGCGGCAUCCUGGACCAUUACUGACGCUGAGGAGCGAAAGCCAGGGGAGCAAACGGG